CUGGUGUCAGCCGCCGCGGUAAUACCAGCACCUCGAGUGGUCAGGACGUUUAUUGGGCCUAAAGCAUCCGUAGCCGGCUUUGCAAGUCUUCGGUUAAAUCCACCUGCUCAACAGAUGGGCUGCUGGAGAUACUACAGAGCUAGGGAGUGGGAGAGGCAGACGGUAUUCAGUGGGUAGGGGUAAAAUCCUCUGAUCCAUUGAGGACCACCAGUGGCGAAGGCGGUCUGCCAGAACACGUUCGACGGUGAGGGAUGAAAGCUGGGGGAGCAAACCGGAUUAGAUACCCGGGUAGUCCCAGCUGUAAACGAUGCAAACUCGGUGAUGCAUUGGCUUAUGGCCAAUGCAGUGCCGCAGGGAAGCCGUUAAGUUUGCCGCCUGGGAAGUACGGACGCAAGUCUGAAACUUAAAGGAAUUGGCGGGGGAGCACCACAAGGGGUGAAGCCUGCGGUUCAAUUGGAGUCAACGCCAGGAAUCUUACCCGGGGAGACAGCAGAAUGAAGGUCAAGCUGAAGACUUUACCAGACAAGCU
rnacentral:rRNA from 2 species